rnacentral:rRNA from 2 species
CAUCGCCUCUUGCCAACAAUCAUGUAUAAGAGGUCCAGCCUGCCCAGUGACUAUAUGUUCAACGGCCGCGGUAUUCUGACCGUGCAAAGGUAGCGUAAUCACUUGUCUUUUAAAUAAAGACUGGUAUGAACGGCACCACGAAGGUUCAACUGUCUCCUGCAUCCAAUCCAUAAAACUGACCUCCCCGUGCAGAGGCGGGGAUAUUACCAUAAGACGAGAAGACCCUAUGGAGCUUAAAACUAAAGGCAACUGCCAAACUAUUCUACCCAUAAGGAUAAACUAUAAAACAAGCAGAAAUUGACCUAAAGUUUUCGGUUGGGGCGACCAUGGAGAAUAAAAAAUCCUCCUUGAAGAAUAGGGCUUACAACCCUUAACCAAGAACCACUAUUCUAAGUAACAAAAUUUAUGACUGCAAUUGAUCCAGUCUUACUGAUCAACGAACCAAGUUACCCUAGGGAUAACAGCGCAAUCCAUUUCAAAAGUUCCUAUCGACAAAUGGGUUUACGACCUCGAUGUUGGAUCAGGGCAUCCCAGUGGUGCAGCCGCUACUAAAGGUUCGUUUGUUCAACGAUUAAAGCCCU